CACGCCGCGUGAGUGAUGAAGGUUUUCGGAUCGUAAAGCUCUGUUGUUAGGGAAGAACAAGUGCCGUUCAAAUAGGGCGGCACCUUGACGGUACCUAACCAGAAAGCCACGGCUAACUACGUGCCAGCAGCCGCGGUAAUACGUAGGUGGCAAGCGUUGUCCGGAAUUAUUGGGCGUAAAGGGCUCGCAGGCGGUUUCUUAAGUCUGAUGUGAAAGCCCCCGGCUCAACCGGGGAGGGUCAUUGGAAACUGGGGAACUUGAGUGCAGAAGAGGAGAGUGGAAUUCCACGUGUAGCGGUGAAAUGCGUAGAGAUGUGGAGGAACACCAGUGGCGAAGGCGACUCUCUGGUCUGUAACUGACGCUGAGGAGCGAAAGCGUGGGGAGCGAACAGGAUUAGAUACCCUGGUAGUCCACGCCGUAAACGAUGAGUGCUAAGUGUUAGGGGGUUUCCGCCCCUUAGUGCUGCAGCUAACGCAUUAAGCACUCCGCCUGGGGGA
rnacentral:rRNA from 1 species